CGCAAGCCUGACGGAGCAAUACCGCGUGAGGGAUGAAGGCCUGUGGGUUGUAAACCUCUUUUCUCAAGGAAGAAGUUCUGACGGUACUUGAGGAAUAAGCAUCGGCUAACUCUGUGCCAGCAGCCGCGGUAAUACAGAGGAUGCAAGCGUUAUCCGGAAUUAUUGGGCAUAAAGCGUCUGUAGGUUGUUUGGUAAGUCUGCUGUUAAAGACUAGGGCUUAACCCUAGAAAAGCAGUGGAAACUGCUAUACUUGAGUGUGGUAGAGGUAGAGGGAAUUCCUAGUGUAGCGGUGAAAUGCGUAGAUAUUAGGAAGAACACCAAU
rnacentral:rRNA from 1 species